GUGCCAGCCGCCGCGGUAAUACCGGCAGCCCGAGUGAUGGCCGAUCUUAUUGGGCCUAAAGCGUCCGUAGCUGGCUGCGCAAGUCCGUCGGGAAAUCCACUCGCCCAACGAGUGGGCGUCCGACGGAAACUGCACAGCUUGGGACCGGAAGGCUCGAAGGGUACGUUCGGGGUAGGAGUGAAAUCCCAUAAUCUCGCACGGACCACCGAUGGCGAAACCACCUCAGGAGAACGGAUCCGACAGUGAGGGACGAAAGCUAAGAUCGCGAACCGGAUUAGAAACCCGUGUAGUCC
rnacentral:rRNA from 1 species